AAAGCCGCCUCCGUCGGGCGCAGCCAGGUGGGGCCGCUAGGCAGGUCUGGCCCAGCCGGAACCGGUGAGGCAGAGUGAACUACUUGGGACACUUGGAAAAAACACCCCGGUGUCUAGAAUGAAGCUGAACACACUAUUUUAAUGGUGGCCGAACACUGGUUUAGAGGAUGCCAAAUGGAGCUCUGAGAUAUGACACACUGCAAUAAGUAGAUUGAAUCAUUGUGAUGUCAUUCUAUAAAGAACCACCUUCCUCAGAGAAGGCCCCAAGAUCAGUUCCCAUCAUUUCCAGUUAAAGGAUCUCUUGAUGGCAAGGAUGGCAAAAUAUAUCUGCCUGAAGCUUCAGGGAACUGCUUCCUGUCAGAGUAGACAGCACGGGGCACCUCCUAUAUUACUCAUUGUUUUUCUGUUCCGGUAGCUUUGGCCAUUCGGCUUUUUACUUGGCAUAAAAGGUAAGAAUCUUGCAAAAC